UACGUAGGCAGCAAGCGUUGUUCGGAGUUACUGGGCGUAAAGGGUGCGUAGGUGGCUCUAUAAGUAUGGUGUGAAAUCUCCCGGCUUAACUGGGAGGGUGCGCCGUAGACUGUGGGGCUAGAGUGUGGGAGAGGAAAGUGGAAUUCCUGGUGUAGCGGUGAAAUGCGCAGAUAUCAGGAGGAACACCGGUGGCGAAGGCGGGUCUCUGGGCAACAACUGACGCUGAGGAGCGAAGGCCAGGGGAGCAAACGGG
rnacentral:rRNA from 1 species